rnacentral:rRNA from 1 species
UCCAGAGAAUUUAGCAGAGAUGCUUUAGUGCCUUCGGGAACUCUGAGACAGGUGCUGCAUGGCUGUCGUCAGCUCGUGUUGUGAAAUGUUGGGUUAAGUCCCGCAACGAGCGCAACCCUUAUCCUUGUUGCCAGCACGUAAUGGUGGGAACUCAAAGGAGACUGCCGGUGAUAAACCGGAGGAAGGUGGGGAUGACGUCAAGUCAUCAUGGCCCUUACGAGUAGGGCUACACACGUGCUACAAUGGCGCAUACAAAGAGAAGCGACCUCGCGAGAGCAAGCGGACCUCAUAAAGUGCGUCGUAGUCCGGAUUGGAGUCUGCAACUCGACUCCAUGAAGUCGGAAUCGCUAGUAAUCGUAAAUCAGAAUGUUACGGUGAAUACGUUCCCGGGCCUUGUACACACCGCCCGUCACACCAUGGGAGUGGGUUGCAAAAGAAGUAGAUAGCUUAACCUUCGGGAGGGCGUUUACCACUUUGUGAUUCAUGACUGGGGUGAAGUCGUAACAAGGUAGGCGUAGUGCU